CUGAGGUUAUAAAAUAUAAAAGUGAAAGUGAAUACAAAAGACUUACAAAGACCACAGCUACCAGAAUUAUUCUUGACCAUAAGUGGCUCCUUCUGCCUUGCGUGGCUUCCUCACCAUCUCCCACAGCAAACAUCCACUCAUCCUCAAAGAUCCUGCUCCAAUGCAGCCGCAAGAGAAUGAACACCAGGGAUUCUGUCUCUUCGUUGGCUGCCAUAUGCCUGGGGUAAAGAUAGUCUCCGGGGAAGUGAAAGGGAGCAGAGUGACCUUCUCCUGCAUAGAGCAGACCACAAUGGGCUUGAGAACAGAACACGAGGCACUGCGUCCUCCCUUGACCCUACGCGCCACCUUCUGCUCAUCCUAAUCUCGUAAUGUAUCAACACCGACAAAGCAGAUAUAUUCAUCAUGGAAGAGGAAGGAUUGAAGAGCUUAAUUAAAAUAUUAUAA